rnacentral:lncRNA from 1 species
AGCAUAUAUUGGGGAACUGCCUAGAGGAAGGCAAGGGGGACAGAGGAACGGCAGGCACACUUUGCUCUGCACCCCCCUGGAGACCCCCAGAGUUCGAAAGGACCAGCGGAGGAGGAGAAACCGGACAGACACCUCUGGAAAAGCCCCACACAAAGGCUGAUCGAGGGAAGGAGAGGAAGGCAGACAGGCAGCCAUUUUAAGAGAGAAGAGCCAGACAAUGGCAGCUCCCCGGCAGUGGGGGCCCAAGCCUGAGGGGAGCCCACGGCCGGGGCCUGCUCCCCACAGCCGCCACCCACCCCCCUGCCCCGCUCGCCCCAGCCCCCUCCCCACUCAGCUGUGUACCUGAGGGGUCCGGGCGAGCGGCUGCCCCCCGCCGCCGCUGCUCCCGGGGCUCAUGGGCGCGUGGUGGCUCCUUUGUUGGGCCCCUCCCGAGGCGGCCGC